rnacentral:snoRNA from 1 species
ACUCUCCCAGGGGAGUGUAACACUCUCCCAGGGAGUGUAACACUCUCCCAGGGAGUGUAACACUCUCCCAGGGGAGUGUAACACUCUCCCAGGGAGUGUAACACUCUCCCAGGGAGUGUAACACUC